CAUUAGUACAUCAAGUCAGCACCCCACCCUGCCCCCCGGGGAAGGUUCUGGUUAACUCAGACCUAGUUUUCGACCCAGAGGAGGGCAUGUACCUUGCCUCCUAACCUGUACCUUCCUGCUCGUGCCGCGAGCGGGUCGCCUGUGGGAGGAGAGACGCUGCUUAAGCGCUGCCUUUGCAGACCUGAGCUCUGGGCUCGUGGGCUUGGCCUGGCUGUGAUGGGCUGUACCUCUUUGUCCCUGGGAGCGCGCCCUGUUGAGCCAGGUGAAUCUGAGCUCGUCGAAGUUCCCGGCAACCUCGGGAAUCUUUCCAUUUGUCUCUUUCACGGAUGGGAACUGAGGCACAGAGAGGCUGGGCAACGUGCCCAGGUCACACAGCAGGGGUUGGCGGGCCAGGAUUUGAACACAGGCAGCCUGGCCCGUAUGGGAGUCUCCGUGCCACCUUGAAGGGAGUGGAAGUGGGAGGUCAGCCCCCUCCCCCCCCAGGGGGGGACAUGACGUCAUCAGGAAUGUGCUGUUUCCUGACACACGGGCUCUCGCGGCUGAGGGGAGGGUCUUUCGUUCUCAUGAGGUGACUCCGGGUGGGCUCUGGCCCCUGCUCGCAAGCCUGGGACGCACCCCCGCCGCCGAGGAAGUGUUAGUGACCAGUGGCACCUACGCGGUGAAGCCACUGUCAAAAUCCCUCGAGUCUCGAGUGCCGAGAGCUUCCAGCUCAGCGGACACGUCUGUGCCGGGAGGUGACGUGCCCAGAGAGGACGUGGCCGCUCCGUGGCCGCCCCCAGACCUGGCUGUCCCCGAGUGGUGUCUUUACGGUAAUCUGGGAAGGAAAGUGUUUGUUUCCCUGAGCUCUGUGGGCCAUUCUCACCCGUUCUGGAACCUCUGGUUUGUGGGCAGGCUUGGGCUUGGCACUGAGGUCCGGCAGUCCUGUCCCUUAACGGUGGGGUGGACGCUGACCCUAGAGGAUGGAUGUCCUGGGACCCCCCCCCGCCAUGUGUCAGAGACGUGAGAAGAGAGCUUCCCUCUAGGAGGGGGCGCCCUGCUCCCUCAGGGAGGGGACAGGCCACGGAGACCAAGGGAGGCAGGGGUCUGUGCCACCUUGGACGGUCAGCUUGUCCUUGGGCUCUUGGUGGGCUCGGUCCCCGAGGCUGUGGCUCCUGGCCUCCCAAAGAGCCGUUCAGGCCACAGUGACCCGUCCGUCCCUCAAGUCCUCUGUGUCCCCGUUUCCCCUCUCGGGUCUCUGCAGGGCGGCGGCAGCCCACUGCCUGGCCCUAGAAGCUUCCAGCAGGAGCAGGCCAGGUGAGCCUGGGAGAAGGGCCUUAGCUUGUCCAGGGAGCCUGUGCCCAGCCUCACGGUGACCUUGCAGAAGGUCGGCCGGCUGGCUGUGUGCGGGAGGAGCGGAGAAUAAACAAGCAGGGAGCAGGUGCCCAGGCAGAGUCUGGCCUCCCAGGGACGCCGGCCCCGCCCGCCUCCUUGUCUUAAAGGUUUUUCCAGCUAUUGUUUCCACACCCAGGAUCCUCAGCCUCUGGCCAUAGCUGCUUUGCUUAGUUCAGCUCGUCUGCUGCCAUCCUUUUAAGAAGCUCCUACUGUGUGCUCACACAUGUUCUCAGCAGCUGGAGGGAGGGUGUGGGACCUGACCCCUGGUCUCUGUCACUCAUUCAUUGACUCAUGUAGCCAACACUUGUCAUGGUCCACAGGCCUCUAGGCAGUGUUAAGCUCUAGGAAACUCCGGCUCUAGCUGAGAGAGAUUUCUGCCUUAUUUCUUCCACGGCACAUCCAGAGUUCCUGCUGCCUGCCAGGUGUUAAACUAAUGCGCCUUGUUACAAAAUGCUCACAGCCAAGGAGAGAAGAGCAGAUGCACAAGUGGCUGAAGUUCAUGGUAGGAACCGCCAUGAGAUGGAAGCACAAGAUGCUGUAGGAGCAGGCUUCCUGGAGGCUCUGAUUUUAGACUGGGGUUUUGAAGGAUGCCUAGGAGUUUGUUAGGCUGAGACCAGAGGAUGCAGUGUUCGAAACUGUGGAGGAGGGCCUCGUGGUGAAGUUUGAGCAGACCAGGGAGUUAGGCAAGUGUACGAAUGAGGGAAGAGUCGGGAGAGAUGAGUCGAGGCAGGGGCUGGAGCUGGAGAAGGUGUCAGUGAUGGGAGGAGAAGUGAGAAUGCGGAGGCUCUGAAAGCUCUCAGGAGUGGGAUUUGGUGUGAUGGGAAUCUAGCGGCUCUGUACGCUUUUAUUUUAUAUUAUUAUUACUUUUUUUGUUGUUUGGAUUGAUUCUUCUUGCCCACGGUACAAAAUACACAUGGAGAAAUGAGUCCAGCUCAGCUGUCCGGUAGAACUUUCUAUGGUGAUGGAAAGUGUCCUGCAUCUGUAACGCCCUGCGUAGUAGCCACUAGAGCUACACAUGGCUCUUGCGAUGGGGGUGUGGAGUUUCAAACUUCAUUUAGUUGUAAUAAAAUUUAAUUUUGGAUUCCAAUCACUGCCAGGGGCUAGGGGGUGGUGUAAUGGGUAGCCCAGCCCUGGAGUGGAAACGAAGCCACCUUCCUGCCCCCAGCCGCCCCAUCCCCUGUCUUGAUGGACUUUCGAGCAGGGACGAAGGGAGUGUUCUGGACGAGAAGCCUGUGGGAAGAUGCUGGAGGUGUUUUCCCCUCACUCCCCCCGUUUCUCGGUGGGUGCUGUGGUCGUAGCCCAGCUGGAGCCUGCCAGGGAGCCAGGUGGCCUGCGGCUUUCGUCCCCAUCCUGCCUCUGCAGAGGCGACACCGUUAUGUCCGGGGAAGAGGGUUGUGCCGUGGUGGGGACAAGACUGAAAUGAUGCAGCCACAAGCCAAGGCAUGCUGGGAGCCCCCCAAAGGUGGGAGAAGCAGGAAGGGUGUCCCCAGGAGCCUCCAGGGAGAAUGUGGCCCCCCUGGAUUUUGGCCAUCUGGCCUCCAGAAUGUGCAAGAAUGAACUUCCGUUGUUGGAGACCCCCGUCUGCCAGCACACAGAGGGUGGUGGCACACCGCUGUCCUUGGCCUGCUGGACGUUGCCUAGGGUCACCUGAGACUCUGCUGACAAUUCACAUCCCUCAGCCUCAGUUUCCUCCCCUGUAAAAAGGUCCCGCGGGGUGAGAGCAGAUGACGUCUGCGGAAUAUCCAUUCUGACGGUGUCCUUGACCUGAACUUGACCUCCUGGGCUCAGGUCGGGCCCCCUGAGUUGGCCAGAGGCAGGGGUCACAGGUGAGAGGCAAGUGAGCUAGGAGAUGAUGCUUAAGGCUGUUGCCAUGGCAAUGCCAGCCUUCUCCCGGGCCUGGCCACCUCGCCUCUCAGUGUUUGCUGCCCUCUUGAUGGUGCCAGCCCAUCUGGCUGGCCGCAGAGGGGCACCCUGAGCAGAGGCAGACCCACAACUGGCAGGUGCUGCUGCUGCCCGACUCCAACCCCAGGGCUGGGCGGCAGAGUGUUGCUGACACCCAGCUCUAGCUCAGAGCACGGCAUCCAUCAAUAUAAGAGGAGGCUCUGUGCAGUAAUAGCGUGGGGCCUGCCGGGCAAUUGAUUUAAAUCAUUUUAUAGAGAACCUAUGUAAAAUAAAAAGCCUUUAAUCACAUUUGUAUCCAUUUCCAGGCUCAGUAAAUCAAUUUGAAUUGAGCUGGGUGCCACGGUUACAGCUGAUUAGCGUGUGUAUAUAUGGUCAAAUUAAUGCCGGCCAAGGCUGCUGGAUGGGGUAUAGCCAUUAGCUCCUGCCUGAGCCUGCCCGCUCUCGUGGGGGCGGAGCCGCAUCCCGGACCCCGUCCCCGGCUUCUCUCCCCCUCCCUCCAGCCGCCUGCUCCCCCCAGCCCCACAUGCUGGGCGUUCCUGUGAGUGCCACAUGCUGCCAGCAUCACAGGGGGCAGGGUCUGUGUGCCAGGAGGCACUUCCUUGGCCGCUCUGCUGGUGCCUCCCCGCCCCUCUGCCCAUGUGUACAGGUGGUGCCUUUUAUCCCCGUCCUGGUCCCCACUCGGUCUCGGGUCUCAGGUCUGCUCAGGGUGCCUCGGGGGCUGGGGCAUCGUUCUGAUUGCCAGGUGCCACCCUGGGAAGCAGCCAGGCCCAGAGAGCUGGCCACGGACAGCCACUCCCAGCCCUUGGAGGCUGCAGGUGCCGGACGGGCUUGGCCAGAGCCCCAGGGCGCUUUGCUCCUGCUCCCUGGGCUCGUUUUUCAGCUGGGGAUGCUGGGAUCUUCAUGUACGAUCCAUAGACAAACCGAGUCUGGCUCUCACAAGUUUGCUGCUGGCCCGACGGGCCUGUGCCGCAGUCUCUUGGUACCCCCGGGGGCCCCGCCUCCCACGAGCCUAGGGGGCGCCCCUCAGAUGGAGCCGCCCCUGUGUCCCCUCCUGGUCUUUCCCAAGAGUCCUCACAGUAGCUGCUGAGCCGGUGCUUGGGAAACGCCACCCCCGCUCUCAGGCCCCAUCCCCUUUAGUUCAUUUGAUAGACACAGCAAAUGCACAAGGCAGGUACUUUUCUGUCCCUCAGGCCCAGAGAGGUUCUGGAACGUGCCUGAGGCUGCACAGCUUAGACGUGGCAGAUCGGCAGUUUGAGCCCAGCUAGUUUCCGGAUCGCAAGCCCGUAACUGCCACGCCAGGCUGCCUCCCACUCACCGGGGCAUCUUCUCGGAGGAGUCUGUCCCAGGGCACUGGUGACAUAGGACCUCUCAGCGCCUUUCCUAGCCCUUCCAAAGGUUGCCCGCCCCGGCGCUGGGCCCAGAUCGUACAGGUGCAUUCUACACGUAUUUGCGGAGCACCUGCCAUGUGCCAGGCUCUGUGCCUGGAGCUGGGAGCCCAGCCAGGACCCAGGUAGACCCCUGUGCGGGGGGCGGGGGGCUUGGGUUCUGCAUGUGUGUUGGAAGACAGGGGAGGGACAGCAGACACACGACAUUAGGUGGUGUAUAUGGCCAGGGCGGAGAAGAGAGGCCAGGGCGAAUGUCCGUGGGGCGGGCAGACAGGCCUGCGUGGCUGUGACUUUGAGCAGAGGCCUGAAGGGAGGAAGCAGGCAGGCCCUGUGCUUGUGGAGGGCUCCUUUGAGACGAGGCGGCAGGUGCAAAGGCCCCGGGGCAGGUCCUGCCCUCAGCAUAGUCCCGGUAAACUUGAUUCGAGGUUUCAGACCCUUUGCGUUUCCUAGGGCUGCUGUUGCACACUACCCCAAACCAGCUGUCUUCAAAUCACAGAAGUUAGUUCUGUCUCUGUUCUGGAGGCCAGAAGUUCAAAAUCAGGGCGUAGGCAGGGCCCUGUUCCCUCCAGAGGCUCCAGGGGCGGGGCCUUCCUGCCUCUCCCAGCUUCUGGGGGCUCCAAGCCAUCUGUAGUGCUUCGGGCCCACGUCACUCCUGUCUCUGCGGGUGUCACGUGACCGUCAUCUUCGGAACACCAGGCGGCUUCGAUGUUCGGCCUCCCUAAUCCGGGAUGAGCUCAUCUGAGCUCCUUACGUCGGAAAGACCGCCUUUCCAGAGACGCUCCCACUCUGAGGUUCCGGGUGGGCCUAAAUGUGGGAAGGGCUCUCCUUACCCCACUCGGACCGCGAGGAGGAGCUUAGGUCUCUCCAGCAAGGCCCGCUCAUCUGAGGCCGAGGAGCUGGAGCCCAGGUGGGCGACCCGCCUCAGGCGUCGCCCCGCUCGUGGCGAGGAGGUGACAGCCUCGCUCCACCCCCGGUCCAGGGGGUGCUGCCUGUGCUGCCUCAACACAGGGCUGGACGGUAGGGAGGUGACCGCCGGGUGAGGGGGACAGCCUUGGCCUGGCCUGGCCUGGCUCAGCCUGGCUCAGAAGUUUCUAGGUCAGGCCAGCAGCCCUCCUCCUGGCGGUGGGCACGCUGCCCUCUUGCUGGCGCUGCGUUAUUCAGGACGUGGCCGCGCUGCUGGUGGUCUGUGGUCCUGCUGGCGCCGUCCUGGGAGGGGAAGGUCCAGGACGGUGAUGACCCCCGCCCCCCGUAAGCCAUGGUCAGCUCCUCUCCCACGUAUCCUGAGGCAGGGGGGUUCCGUCGGGCGAGGAGAGAGUGCUCGAGCUGAAGUCCAGGCCCCGGUCCUAGGCCAGGCCACAGGACCCCGGCAGGCUGCUCAGACCCUCAGGGCUUCUGAACCCUUUUCUCUCCGACAGCUGACCAAAGACCCGGCGUUUCCAGAUUCCAAGGAGAACGCGCGCUGAAAUCUUUGCACUGGUGUAAAGGGUCUUAAAUUGAUUUUUUUUCCCUUUUUAGGGCCAUGGCAUGUGAGGUUCCCAGGCUAGGCAUCGAAUCAGAGCUGCCAGCCUACACCACAGCCACAGCACCGCCGGAUCUGAACCUACACCGCAGCUCAUGGCAACACCGGCUCCUUAACCCACUGAGCGAGGCCAGAGAUCGAAGCUGCAUCCUCAUGGAUACUAAUCGGCUUCUUUGCCUCUGAGCCACAGCGGGAACUCCUACAACGGGAACUUCUUAAGACCUAAUCCUAGCCUCCGGGAGGCUGGGGGAGGGGGAAGCUGAGUUUGUGAUCUGAGGGGGCAGCUUGCCCCUCGGAAAGGACACAGGAAAAUCUGGAGACCAGGGGCAAUUCGUCUUGUGUCCCCCAGUCUCCGAUUCCUCAUUUGUCAAAAGCCACAGACAGCACCUGCCUGGAGCUCUGUCAGGCGGCCCCAGUGAAUCGAUCGUUCUGGAGGCCAGACUGGGCUCCCCCGGCGUGCAGUACGACCAGAUGCUUGUAGUGGGGGGCGUCAGGGCCGUGCCCCGAGCAGGGGUCUCCUGCUUCAUUUCCCUGGGGCCCGGGCCCGCGAUGGCUGUGACUUGACCCCUCUCCCCAGAGGUGAAAGGUCCCCACUUUGCAGCCGGCGGUAAUUCCCAGAACCAUCCAUCUCCCGCCACCCCGCGCCUUGGAGUGCCGUCGGGGAAGAGUGAUGGGCGCCUCUCGCGGGCCCAGGCGGGGAAUUGCCACAACAGGUUUAUGCCGCAUGAGUGAUGGUGUUUGCGUCGCUGACGCCGGGGUGCCGCCAGGACCAGACUGCACCCAGAGCAGAACAAUAAAUACUGUGAGACGCUGCCAAAGGGGGGACCGUUCCUAUGCCCGAGAGACAACUGACGGGCCCCGGGGAGGCAGCCGGGGUGGCAAGGCCGGGCCCUGGGGGGUGUCUGCCCCAUAGCUGAUGGAGGGCUGGGUGAUUUCUGUAGGUUGAGGGCAGCGAUGGAAUUGGGGAGAAAACGACUCUUCGAAGGAGAGAGGGGACUUUGCAGUCAGAGGCGAACAGCAGCAACAGAGUGUCUGAAAGAUUCAGAACCUCUAACUCCAGGCCGGGUUCCCUGGAGUGUGUGUGAGCAAAGGGAGCCCCCGAGGCCCAGCAAAGGGAGCUGUCGCCAGGAGACUCAGGACCAGGACAGCCUGGCUGAAAAACAUCCCUAACCCGCCGGCUGUCACCUGGGUGGCUUGGGGGUUCAGGGUGGCCGUUGCGGCGGAGUGUUUCACACCACCUUUGUGUCUGAGCUUUUCUAGUCCUGCAAAGCUGCCACUUAGCACUGCCCUCUGGGGACCCGCCUGGGCUGUAGGCAGCACGCUUGGGUCUGGCAUUAAAGCUUCUUCCUCUGCCUCCUACGGUGACACCCAGAAAUGUGCUGCAACAGGGACUCAGGAGUCCCCAGGUGUGCGUUGCAGAAGCUGUGUGACCUGAGCCAGAGACCUUGGGGCCUCCGUUUCCCCACCUGUAAAAUGGGCCACUGUCACCCCAGUGGGGUUAUGGACGAACCGAACAAAUGAGGUCGUUGCGUGGAUUCUUCAGGCUGGAGCCAAUACCACGUUCCCUGGAAGGCAUCUGGGUGUCGCUUUCAGUCAGGAUCUCUGACUCAAAUGUAUUUUUCUCCCGUGGCCACAGUGAAGGAACUGCUGAUGUCACCUGGCCUCUCCCCUGUGGGCACGGUGUGGUGUGGCGGGUGACUCCUCUGGUUCUUAGUGUACAUACAACUUCGUCACAGCUGCGGAGACCCAGGCUCUGAAUCAGCUCCCAGGGGCAGGUUACGGGGAUUAGCACAGGGACGCAGCCCACGGCCAGCUCAAGGUCACAGCCCAUGGCCAGCUCAAGGUCACAGGUCGGGGAGCCCCAGGACAGCGCAGGCCGCCAUCCUCAAGGGCUGGCCUGGUGCCCAUGUGGUCUCGGCACCCGGCGUGGGUGUUUUGAGUCCUCUCUGCUUCCCGGUUCUCUGAUUGUUCCCACUUUGCAGAUGGGAAAAGGGAGGCCCAGGGAGCUGUCGCCACUUCUGCCUCAAGUCUCAUGGCUGGGAGCUGGCGGAGCCGGGAUCUAGGCUCUAGAACUCAUGCCUUGGCUGCCGUGCCUCUGCGCCGGCUGAUGGAGAACAGGCAGAGCUGUUGAGUAGAUGCGGGGCGGGGGGGGGGGGGGGCCCCCCCCCCCCCGAAGCCUGCGUGUGCAGAGGGGAAUUGCAGGCAGUGGUUCCCCUCCCAGGGUCCCCCUAGCCCAGCACAGCUGUGUUACGGACCUGCUGGUUUCCUUGUUCCCACCCCUAACACACUUGCACACACGGAAGUACACCUGCUGGGGUUCCCAUUGUGGCUUAGUAGGUUACAGACCCGACUGUAGGACGCAGGUUCGAUCCCUGGCCUCACUCAGUGGGUUAAAGAUCUGACAUUGCCGUGAGCUGUGGUGUAGGUCGCAGAUGUGGUUCGGAUCUGGCGUUGCUGUGGCUGUGACAUAGACUGGCAGCUGCAGCUCUGAUUCGAUCCCUAGCCUGGGAACUUUCGUAUGCUGCAGGUGCAGCCAUGAAAAAAAA
ensembl:lncRNA